rnacentral:rRNA from 1 species
GACGUAGGGCGCGAGCGUUGUCCGGAUUUAUUGGGCGUAAAGAGCUCGUAGGCGGUUUGUCGCGUCUGCCGUGAAAGUCCGGGGCUCAACUCCGGAUCUGCGGUGGGUACGGGCAGACUAGAGUGAUGUAGGGGAGACUGGAAUUCUUGGUGUAGCGGUGAAAUGCGCAGAUAUCAGGAGGAACACCGAUGGCGAAGGCAGGUCUCUGGGCAUUAACUGACGCUGAGGAGCGAAAGCAUGGGGAGCGAACAGG